CUGCAAUAGAACAAAAUUGGAGGGAAAAAAAAAGACGAUAAUUCGAGAUCGGAAAAGAGAAAUUACGACCAGGGUUUGGUGGAGAUGACGUGGAUUGAGUAGCCAUGUGUGCAAUUUUCCCACUACUUUACGAGGGUUUUAUUUGGCGGGUUGUGGAAGCCACAGAGAAGAAUGAAGAAAAAGACGAACUGUAGAUAUCAAUUUAUAGUUAUAGUUGUAAUAAAAAGAAAUAUCUUUUAAAUUAAAUGUAUGUGAGUACAAGAUGGACGAUGCUUUGCUGGGUAA
rnacentral:lncRNA from 1 species